rnacentral:lncRNA from 11 species
UUUAGGCCUGUGCUGGUGUUGGCGGCUGCUUUUUCAGGAUCAUGGCAUUGGCUGCGAUGCCUGGAGAACUGCACCGGAAGGUAGUCCAGGCGGCACUGAUGUGGCUCAUGGCAAAUUCUGUGCUGGCGCCAUGCCCCUCGAGGUGGGUCCCGUACAGGGAGGAACUUUGCCUCUUCCUCCCGCCUGCGCCUGCUCUUUCAUGGGAUGAAGCCAGGGUCUUCUGCCAGGACCAGAGGGCACAGCUUGUUGUCAUCAAGG